CGUUGAAAUAUCGGGUCUCGAAAGGUCACCGAAGCUAAGCAACGUGGAUCCUGGCCAGUACCUAGAUGGGUGACCACUUGGGAAUACCAGGUGCUGUAA